rnacentral:lncRNA from 1 species
GUACAAUAGCUCCAGGACUGGAAUAAGUCAGAGACAGCUUAGAUCUGGGGCAGCAUGUGAUGACUUUUGUUCAAAAAGGCAGAGGUCUUCUUGCAUUAAAAAAGGCUAAAAAUAUGAACUGAAUGUAACAGUCAAAGUGUCUUCCUGAGUCUGCUGAAAGCCUUAAAUAGUACUUCAGAUAGAUGUGAACCAAUUUCCAUCCCAUCCAAUUCAGUGGAAGAAUUCCUUUAUAAAAACCCUAGCAAAAGAUUUUGUCUGCAAGAGGGUCAGGGAACCCAAUAUCUGAGGAGUCCAAGGGAGGCCGAAGGACUCCCGUUGCCGGCGAGGAAUAAUGUAGAAGAAGUGCCAUGCUGGGCCACAAAAGGUGUGAUUUCAUGCUGUCCAAGAACCCGCUGCAGCCUUCAGAUGUCUUUUGCUGGGCACUCCUGAAUCAAAUAUUCAGGUAAAGCGCUGUUACAUUCACCUUGUAAAACAGAGGAAGAAAUCCAAUCUUGAAGACACAGAAGUCUCAAUUUUGGAACAGACUCCGCUCAGCAAGCCCUCCUGACCCUGUGGCUUUGGCACAGCUU